GGUAUGACACAAGUUGUUAAACCUUUAUUUAUGAGUUUAGACAAUCUUUGUUUUGUGAUGCUAGACAUCUAUAUUUUGCAAACUUAAUAGAAUAAUUUGAAGCAAAAAUAGAAGAACCAAUUUUGUAAAUAGAAUUUAUAUUUUAUUUUGGGAUGGAGCAAUUAUGUAACUAAUUUUCAAUUUAAGCAAUAUUAGAUUCUUGUAAAUCAAACUCUUUGUCAUUAGACUAGAAAGGAAGAAUGAGAAGGACUUCUCAUACUAAGGUUUUUUAACAAAAGUUAAGAAUUACAUUCUCAAGAAUGCAGAUCAUCAAACUGGCAAAUCUAAAAGCUACUGAGCUUAAAACUGAGCUCUCUAUAACCAAGAUGACCUAAGCCAUUUUGAUUUGAUUUGCCAUAAACUAACGAGUAUAAUGAAAUAAACUGUUGGAAUUUAAAGUGGCAUAACUCAAAUCUCAAAUGCUAACAAAAAUAAAUUAAAGGAAAUACAAGAUAACUAGAGACAUAGCU
rnacentral:misc_RNA from 1 species